rnacentral:rRNA from 1 species
CCUACGGGAGGCAGCAGUGGGGAAUUUUGGACAAUGGGCGAAAGCCUGAUCCAGCAAUGCCGCGUGUGGGAAGAAGGCCUUCGGGUUGUAAACCACUUUUGUACGGAACGAAACGGUUCGCUUUAAUACAGUGGGCUAAUGACGGUACCGUAAGAAUAAGCACCGGCUAACUACGUGCCAGCAGCCGCGGUAAUACGUAGGGUGCGAGCGUUAAUCGGAAUUACUGGGCGUAAAGCGUGCGCAGGCGGUUAUAUAAGACAGUUGUGAAAUCCCCGGGCUCAACCUGGGAAUUGCAUCUGUGACUGUAUAGCUAGAGUACGGUAGAGGGGGAUGGAAUUCCGCGUGUAGCAGUGAAAUGCGUAGAUAUGCGGAGGAACACCGAUGGCGAAGGCAAUCCCCUGGACCUGUACUGACGCUCAUGCACGAAAGCGUGGGGAGCAAACAGGAUUAGAUACCCUGGUAGUCCACGCCCUAAACGAUGUCAACUGGUUGUUGGGUGCAUUAGUACUCAGUAACGAAGCUAACGCGUGAAGUUGACCGCCUGGGGAGUACGGCCGCAAGGUUGAAACUCAAAGAUAGUACGCGNGNGAGNGCGACGACGACGACGACGGAGGAGG